GAAGAGAAGGAGAGCCAACCCUAAUCCUUCAAAAAUCUUCAAAUUGAAGCUCAAUCAUGCCUUAAAUCGAUGCAUGAACACAUAAAAACGAUCACCAAGCUUAGGGGAUCACAAGUUUGACGCUUAACGAGCUAGGUGGCGGCUUGGGAAAAGAAGCGAGUCAGACGGAUUGGGUACACGGAAAAAAAGCAUAACCGGAUGCUUGGUGAUCCUAGGUUGCAUCCGGAUGAUGAUCAAGUCAAGUAUCAAGAACCGAACACACAUCAUUGAAGCUUCCGCUAUGAUCUCAUUAUGUUUUGUUUUAAAACAAUCUAU
rnacentral:lncRNA from 1 species